AACGAACGCUGGCGGCAUGCCUAACACAUGCAAGUCGAACGAGACCUUCGGGUCUAGUGGCGCACGGGUGCGUAACGCGUGGGAACCUGCCCUUAGGUUCGGAAUAACUCCCCGAAAGGGGUGCUAAUACCGGAUAAUGUCUUCGGACCAAAGAUUUAUCGCCUUUGGAUGGGCCCGCGUUGGAUUAGCUAGUUGGUAGGGUAAAAGCCUACCAAGGCGCCGAUCCAUAGCUGGUCUGAGAGGAUGAUCAGCCACACUGGGACUGAGACACGGCCCAGACUCCUACGGGAGGAAGCAGUGGGGAAUAUUGGACAACGGGGGAGAGCCUGAUCCAGCAACGCCGCGUGAGUGAUGAAGGCGUGAGGGUUGUAAAGCUCUUAUAACCGGGAUGAUAAUGACAGUACCGGGAGAAUAAGCACCGGCGAACUACGUG
rnacentral:rRNA from 1 species